UACAGAGGGUGCGAGCGUUGUCCGGAAUCACUGGGCGUAAAGGGCGCGUAGGUGGCGCCGCAAGUCCAUGGUGAAAGCUCGAUGCUCAACAUCGAGUCGGCCACGGAGACUGCGGGGCUCGAGCACUGUAGAGGCAGAUGGAAUUCCGGGUGUAGCGGUGGAAUGCGUAGAGAUCCGGAAGAACACCGGUGGCGAAGGCGGUCUGCUGGGCAGUUGCUGACACUGAGGCGCGACAGCGUGGGGAGCAAACAGG
rnacentral:rRNA from 1 species